AAUGGUAGCAAUGAUGACUAAUUUUUUUCCCCAGCAGAUCGACUCUGUUGACCUUAAAAAAAAUAAAAUAAGCCAAAUGAACUGAGCAACCAGU